GCAUUGGUGGUUCAGUGGCAGAAUUCUCACCUUCCACGUGGGAGACCUGGGUUUGAUUCCCCGCCAAUGCG
rnacentral:tRNA from 1 species